CGGACGGGUGAGUAACGCGUGGAUAACCUGCCCCAUACCGGGGGAUAACAGCCGGAAACGGCUGCUAAUACCGCAUAAGCGCACGGGACUGCAUGGCCCUGUGUGAAAAACUCCGGUGGUAUGGGAUGGAUCCGCGUCUGAUUAGCUAGUUGGUGAGAUAAAAGCCCACCAAGGCGACGAUCAGUAGCCGACCUGAGAGGGUGGCCGGCCACAUUGGGACUGAGACACGGCCCAGACUCCUACGGGAGGCAGCAG
rnacentral:rRNA from 1 species